CACAACCCCCCAGGCACCUAUCCUUAGGAUAGCGCGCCGGGCGUUGGGGGAUCACCGGCCCUCCCGCCAGUGCCCCCCGUAACUUAGCGGCGUCGAAGCCCGCGGCUCUUGCGUAGUAGAUUGCUCGCAGGGAGCUCGUAGCCUAGACCGUCGGCAAACACGAUAAACAAC
rnacentral:misc_RNA from 1 species